rnacentral:rRNA from 1 species
GAUAAACGCUGGCGGCGUGCAUAACACAUUCAAGUCGAACGGACUUAAUGGAGAGCUUGCUAGAAAUUAAGUUAGUGGCGGACGGGUGAGUAACGCGUGAGCAACCUGCCUAUCAGUGGGGAAUAACGAUGGGAAACGAAGACUAAUACCGAAUAAUGUACAGAGAUCGCAUGUUUUUUGUACCAAAUCUUUAUUGCUGACAGAUGGGCUAGCGUCUGAGUAGGUAGUUGGUCAGGUAACGGCUCACCAAGCCGACGAACAGUAGCCGGACUGAGAGGUUGAGCGGACACAUUGGAACUGAGAAACGGUCCAGACUCCUACGGGAGGCAGCAGUGGGGAAUAUUGGGCAAUGGGCGAAAGCCUGACCCAGCGACGCCGCGUGAGGGAAGACGGUCUUCGGAUUGUAAACCUCUUUCAGCAGGGAAGACAAAAGGACGGUACCUGCAGAAGAAGCCACGGCUAACUACGUGCCAGCCGCCGCGGUAAAAC